GACGGGGUGUCCGAGUGGUUUAAGGAGUUAGACUUGAAAUCUAAUGGUGUUACACUGCAUAGGUUCGAAUCCUGUUCCCGUCG